UUACUAUCUAUAAAAUUGUAAGUGUAGGCGUGAUUUGGCGGCGAGUUCCCUCCUCACUUUGUACUCUCGCGUGUGGAUGUAUAUAUCUUCAAAUGUACCGUUGGAUUGCUGUCUUUCUUCUAAUAGAUGGCUAUGAUGGGCAGUUGCUUUUCAUUUGUUUGUUUAUAUAGUUUUGUCUUCUUUGGUCCCAGUUUGUGCACGUGUCAAUGCAAGGGUAGUAAACAUCUAAAAUCUGGUGCAUGCACCUGCUUUUUACUUCGCCUGAGGCCUUGCUUUUCUUGGGUUCAUGCACGGGGAUUGGAGUCUUGCUUUCUUCUCCCCUCCCAAUACAACUCAGCGACCCAUCGUUGAUCUUCUUGGGUUCAUCGUUCAUCUUUGCAAUUCUUUGCUCUUUUCAUGUUGGGUGAUUAGAUCCACUCAUCUGGUGCGUUUCUGUGGUUUUUUCCCAGGUCAUCGAUUACAUGGGCACAUGCGAGCCUGAUUUGACUAGGCGUAUCUCGGAUCUCCGUCGAUUCUCCCGCGUUCCAUGGAAUUGCACCUUCGAUUUCGUCCGUUGUCAAGGUUUCUUCUCACUCUUUAAUUUCCUGAUUUUUAAAUUUUUGGGAAUUAGAUUUCAUGUAAAGCUUACCGAAAUCUCUGGAUCUAAUUGGUUCUAAGGUUUGAUUCUUUUGCUUUUCCAUUUUUGUCUGUUCAUUGAGUUGGGUCAAUUGAAGUGGUCAUUUCUUAUUAUUCUCAAUUCAUAUGACUGCAGACAGACCUUUCUCAGUCGAAUACAGUCGGGAAAAGGAAGGUUAGCCUAACAGUUCAAAAAUUCAAUAUCAUGUGGUUGCAACUGUAAGGAGUAGAGCUCUAACUAAUAUCUCCAAAGAUCAUUAUGCUUUGAUGUUGGUGGUGGAAACUCAGCAGCUUCUCAUUCAACCAAGUGCGGCGUAUCGGUUUCUCUCACCUAAUUGAAUUAUCAUUUCCUUUGACAUUUUAGGGGGCUUGCGUGGAGGACUAGGUUAACUUUUCAGUGGCCACUACAGGACACAACCGAGUGCUUUGACCAAUUUUCCAAUUGACAAGGGGCUAGGAUAAACUUCAAUAUAAGUUCCCUCUCUAUUUGUUCUCUAUUUCAAAGCGUAUUUUGUGGUAUUGUUUAAGUCCUCCAUUUUUAUUAUUGUUAUCCUUUACAAACUCUAAAAGAUUUUUCACUACGAUUAUUGUACAAGUACAAAGAUAAUGAUAUGUUAUAAACAGAGUGGAAUAAAAUAAAGAUAUGAAGUUUACAUGAA